AUUGAACGCUGGCGGCAGGCCUAACACAUGCAAGUCGAACGAGUGGCGGACGGGUGAGUAAUGUCUGGGAAACUGCCCGAUGGAGGGGGAUAACUACUGGAAACGGUAGCUAAUACCGCAUACCAUCGGAUGUGCCCAGGUGGGAUUAGCUAGUAGGUGGGGUAACGGCUCACCGAGGCGACGAUCCCUAGCUGGUCUGAGAGGAUGACCGGCCAAAAUGGAACAGAGACGCGGUCCAGAAUCCUACGGGAGGCAGCGGUGGGGAAUAUUGCACAAUGGGCGCAAGCCUGAUGAAGCCAUGCCGAGUAGAUGAGGAAGGCCUUCGGGUUGUAAAGUACUUUCAGCGAGGAGACGUUACUCGCAGAAGAAGCACCGGCUAACUCCGUGCCAGCAGCCGCGGUAAUAC
rnacentral:rRNA from 1 species